rnacentral:tRNA from 1 species
GGAGAGGUGGCCGAGCGGUCGAAGGCGCACGCCUGGAAAGCGUGUGUACGGUGCUCCCGUACCGAGGGUUCGAAUCCCUCCCUCUCCGCCA